rnacentral:rRNA from 1 species
UAGGGAAUCUUCCACAAUGGACGAAAGUCUGAUGGAGCAACGCCGCGUGAGUGAAGAAGGGUUUCGGCUCGUAAAACUCUGUUGUUAAAGAAGAACAUAUCUGAGAGUAACUGUUCAGGUAUUGACGGUAUUUAGCCAGAAAGCCACGGCUAACUACGUGCCUG